GACGAACGCUGGCGGCGUGCUUAACACAUGCAAGUCGAGCGGAAAGGCCCUUCGGGGUACUCGAGCGGCGAACGGGUGAGUAACACGUGGGUAACCUGCCCUUCACUCUGGGAUAACUCCGGGAAACCGGGGCUAAUACCGGAUACGACCACUUUAGGCAUCUUCGGUGGUGGAAAGUUUUUCGGUUGGAGGAUGGACCCGCGGCCUAUCAGCUUGUUGGUGGGGUAAUGGCCUACCAAGGCAGUGACGGGUAGCCGGCCUGAGAGGGCGACCGGCCACACUGGGACUGAGACACGGCCCAGACUCCUACGGGAGGCAGCAGUGGGGAUAUUGCGCAAUGGGCGGAAGCCUGACGCAGCGACGCCGCGUGAGGGAUGACGGCCUUC
rnacentral:rRNA from 1 species